CAUGCUGUAGGCUCCAGCCUGGGAACUGCUGAGACCCUGGAUGGUGGAAGCCAGAGAUGUUGACACCUGGGUGAAUACCCAAGCUCCUGCAGACGUCCCAGGAGUGAUGGAGCUGCAGAGGCAGAAGAUCCCAAAGACCUUGGAGAUGCCAGGACCAUUACACCAGGGACAGGAUACAGAUUAACACAGCUGCUACUCUGAGAAGUGAAAUAGAAAACCUGGCUCAAUGCUUUAUUGAAGAUAACUGGAAAGGGACAGGGGUCAUCAGCACUUGCAGGUGGAGUGAAACCCACACUUAACUCAGUCCCCUACAGCACAAGCGAAUGCAAUAGAUGUUUUGAGCAUGAAAGUUAGCCACCAAAGCCAAAUCACUUUGAGGCAGAAGGAAAGUUUAAAUAAAUGUAGAUUUGAAUGUAAAGAAUCCCUCUC